GAUGAACGCUGACAGAAUGCUUAACACAUGCAAGUCAACUUGAAUUUGGGUUUAUAUCUUAGGUUUGGGUGGCGGACGGGUGAGUAACGCGUAAAGAACUUGCCUCACAGCUAGGGACAACAUUUAGAAAUGAAUGCUAAUACCUGAUAUUAUGGUUAUAGGGCAUCCUAUAAUUAUGAAAGCUAAAUGCACUGUGAGAGAGCUUUGCGUCCCAUUAGCUAGUUGGAGAGGUAACAGCUCACCAAGGCGAUGAUGGGUAGCCGGCCUGAGAGGGUGAACGGCCACAAGGGGACUGAGACACGGCCCUUACUCCUACGGGAGGCAGCAGUGGGGAAUAUUGGACAAUGGACCGAGAGUCUGAUCCAGCAAUUCUGUGUGCACGAUGAAGUUUUUCGGAAUGUAAAGUGCUUUCAGUUGGGAAGAAAAAAAUGACGGUACCAACAGAAGAAG
rnacentral:rRNA from 1 species